rnacentral:rRNA from 1 species
AUGAACGCUGGCGGCGUGCCUCAUACAUGCAAGUCGAGCGAACAGACGAGGAGCUUGCUCCUCUGACGUUAGCGGCGGACGGGUGAGUAACACGUGGAUAACCUACCUAUAAGACUGGGAUAACUUCGGGAAACCGGAGCUAAUACCGGAUAAUAUAUUGAACCGCAUGGUUCAAUAGUGAAAGACGGUUUUGCUGUCACUUAUAGAUGAAUCCGCGCCGCAUUAGCUAGUUGGUAAGGUAACGGCUUACCAAGGCAACGAUGCGUAGCCGACCUGAGAGGGUGAUCGGCCACACUGGAACUGAGACACGGUCCAGACUCCUACGGGAGGCAGCAGUAGGGAAUCUUCCGCAAUGGGCGAAAGCUUGACGGAGCAACGCCGCGUGAGUGAUGAAGGUCUUCGGAUCGUAAAACUCUGUUAUUAGGGAAGAACAAAUGUGUAAGUAACUAUGCACGUCUUGACGGUACCUAAUCAGAAAGCCACGGCUAACUACGUG